rnacentral:rRNA from 1 species
AUGAACGCUGGCGGCGUGCCUAAUACAUGCAAGUCGAGCGAACGGACGAGAAGCUUGCUUCUCUGAUGUUAGCGGCGGACGGGUGAGUAACACGUGGAUAACCUACCUAUAAGACUGGGAUAACUUCGGGAAACCGGAGCUAAUACCGGAUAAUAUUUUGAACCGCAUGGUUCAAAAGUGAAAGACGGUCUUGCUGUCACUUAUAGAUGGAUCCGCGCUGCAUUAGCUAGUUGGUAAGGUAACGGCUUACCAAGGCAACGAUGCAUAGCCGACCUGAGAGGGUGAUCGGCCACACUGGAACUGAGACACGGUCCAGACUCCUACGGGAGGCAGCAGUAGGGAAUCUUCCGCAAUGGGCGAAAGCCUGACGGAGCAACGCCGCGUGAGUGAUGAAGGUCUUCGGAUAGUAAAACUCUGUUAUUAGGGAAGAACAUAUGUGUAAGUAACUGUGCACAUCUUGACGUUACCUAAUCAGAAAGCCACGGCUAACUACGUG